GUCACGAUAUCGGUAUCCAAGUCUGCCCCAUCAAGUAAAUUUAUUUUCGGCUUAUUAGAGUAAGAGAGGCUUUAUUGGUCUUGCUGCGCUCGUUUCUAGAUAUGUUAAGCAUAACAAGUUGUCUUUUACUUGUGGACAUUUCUAUCCAAUUUCUUCUCCCUAACUCAAUUGGAGAAAGCUUUCUACCUCCGCACACUUACCUUGACCGAAGGCAGUUACAUCCCCAACCAUGCAAAUAAUUCUAGCUUGUGUCACUUCAUACUAUUCGAGAAACCAUCCCCACACCAUCAUUGGAUAUUAUCGGCGAGCC
rnacentral:lncRNA from 1 species